rnacentral:rRNA from 1 species
GUAGGGAAUCUUCCACAAUGGGCGAAAGCCUGAUGGAGCWACGCCGCGUGUGUGAUGAUGGCUUUCGGGUCGUAAAGCACUGUUGUAUGGGAAGAACAGCUAGAAUAGGAAAUGAUUUUAGUUUGACGGUACCAUACCAGAAAGGGACGGCUAAAUACGUGCCAGCAGCCGCGGUAAUACGUAUGUCCCGAGCGUUAUCCGGAUUUAUUGGGCGUAAAGCGAGCGCAGACGGUUUAUUAAGUCUGAUGUGAAAGCCCGGAGCUCAACUCCGGAAUGGCAUUGGAAACUGGUUAACUUGAGUGCAGUAGAGGUAAGUGGAACUCCAUGUGUAGCGGUGGAAUGCGUAGAUAUAUGGAAGAACACCAGUGGCGAAGGCGGCUUACUGGACUGCAACUGACGUUGAGGCUCGAAAGUGUGGGUAGCAAACAGGAUUAGAUACCCUGGUAGUCCACACCGUAAACGAUGAACACUAGGUGUUAGGAGGUUUCCGCCUCUUAGUGCCGAAGCUAACGCAUUAAGUGUUCCGCCU